AUGCACUGGGCCGCCAGAUAACAACUUCUGCGUCACCCUCUCUUGCUUUCACAGAAACUGUGAAAUAUCGGAAUCAACCUCCAACAUUCCCUUCUUAACGUGUUAGUUAUAAACACAACGAAGAAAGCCACGAUUUACGUUGCCCAUACGUGUUGUUUUGGAAAUGGAGAGAUGUAUCCUGCCUGAGGGAAAUUGAGACCAACGGACCACUAAAGGCGUUUGUAACUGCGACUUUGAUGAGCACUUGAAGGCAGCACGGGAAAUACACCCACACUGACUGCUGUCAUAUUUUCAUCGAGGACAGCAAAGGCUUCAGUCUACUCUUCAGCUGUGGUAACUAUUAUUAUUUGAGUUUGUUUAGUACCUUAAGGAUUUGUCUCACACUUUCUCAGAUUUAUGUAUGCUUUCUCUUUUAAAACAGUUUUCAGCAGCAGGUCAACACCACACUCAUAUUCCAUCGAUUCCAGAUUGUGUUAACUAUAAUUAGGUGAUUAUGAAAAACAUGGCCCCAGUUUUUAUACCUCUUGUUUUGUUAACUAAUUAUUAUCAUUUACUAUCAUUAUUUUCAAAUAUGAAAUUCUUAAAUGUGAGCAUGGUCUCUCCAGCUAGUCCUCUAAUUUUGCAUCUUUUUGAGUGAUGUUUUGCAGGUUAACUCAAACGUUUUGCUGUUUGUUGAAAAAUACACUUGACCUUGUGUUUUAUUGAUGCUUUCUAACUCCAAAUAUUAGUUUAUUGUGAUAUAUUUUCUUGUGAAAUGUAGUGUUUCAAAACGACUGUGAUAAUAUUAUUAUAAUAUUAUUCCUCUGUGGUAUUGAAACUUUUAAUCAAUGAAUAUGAGUACCUUUUCCACCUCUGCUUUUAACAAUGAAAGUAUUUUCUGGGUAGAACACUGAACUGUAAUAAAGGUUUCUGUUGUGUUCAGGGAGGCUGAAAUGAACACUGACAAACAACAAGAUAUGAGGAAGCUGGUUGUAGACUGAAUUUAGUGACUAGCUUAAAUAAUUGAAAGGAGUUCACAUGGAAAAGAUGCAUCCAGACACCACAAAUAAAAAACAAAUACGGACCAACAAACUCAAAUAAAUGCUGAAAGAAAUGUGGAACAUAA